AGAAAUCGUCAAAAGUUCUUCACAAUAUGAUCGUUCCACAUAAUUUGCAGAUAUGCAUCCCUUGCACAACAGUCCUUCAUUUUUAAAGCUUAUUGAUGAAGAUGACCCGAUAUUUUUGGUGAAGAGCUUCUUUCAGAC